rnacentral:rRNA from 1 species
GAUGAACGCUGGCGGCGUGCCUAAUACAUGCAAGUCGAGCGAACGGACGAGAAGCUUGCUUCUCUGAUGUUAGCGGCGGACGGGUGAGUAACACGUGGAUAACCUACCUAUAAGACUGGGAUAACUUCGGGAAACCGUAGCUAAUACCGGAUAAUAUUUUGAACCGCAUGGUUCAAAAGUGAAAGACGGUCUUGCUGUCACUUAUAGAUGGAUCCGCGCUGCAUUAGCUAGUUGGUAAGGUAACGGCUUACCAAGGCAACGAUGCAUAGCCGACCUGAGAGGGUGAUCGGCCACACUGGAACGGAGACACGGUCCAGACCCCUAGGGGAGGCAGCAGGAGGGAAUCUUCCGCAAUGGGGGAAAGCCUGACGGAGCAACGCGGCGUGAGUGAUGAGGGCUUCCGGAUCGUAAAACUCUGUUAUUGGGGAAGAACAGAUGUGUAAGUAACUGUGCAGAUCUGGACGGUACCUAACCAGAAAGCCACGCCAACCUACGU